CUGUGGAAGGAAGUGAAGACUUGAGUCUCCUCACUGGCAUGUGGCCUUAACUGGCUGAUGCUCACAAGUGAUGAGCAUCCCUCCAGGCUCCUGUAGAGGCACUUGACAAGGGCUGCAUAUGGAUAUUACAAAGGGAACAGGAAGUACACCCCAGUAAUUAAUAUUAUAUCUUGUCCCCAAAGACACUCUGCUCCCUUUAUAUGUUAGUUGACUGAUCAUCUGACUCCUCUGAGAGGUAAUGAUGAAGUUAAUAUAAACACUGAGCUUUAUACCUAAUUUCUACUAUUAAAAGCGGGGGGAGGAGGGAGGGCAGAUACACCACACAGGCGCAGAAAGCUGACUGUUAAUGCUUAAGAGAAAUGUCAGUGAUAUUUGGUAUGCAGUGGAAAGAGUCAGAAACCUGGUUUUUCUGGAUGAUGGAGGUUGUUGCUGGUAAAUCUGCUCAUGGUGACAGGUAUUACAAAUAACCCGGAGAAAAGGGAAAUUGAAAGAACUCAAAGAGAAAGAGUAGGAAGGUCCUGCAGUAUUCUACUUCUGUUCCAUCCCUACUAGUAUCUUUUACAAAACAAAACCAUGCCAACAAAAGCUCAGUGCUAAUCCGGACCCACAUAGUGUGAAAUAGACUCCAGCUCUUAGUUCACUUACCUUGUUAGUGAGCGAGGAGGUGAGCAAAAGACCAAAGGUAAAUCGGGGAUUAUUCUUAGCACAGUGCAGACAUCUGUCUGUCUUUGCAGGCCAUUGUGAGAUGACAACUGGAAACUCAUGCUUCAAAAAGUGACUUAAAUUAUACAUACCUCACAUUUUGGCAUUAAAAUAAUAGACAUUCCUAAGGUAAAUGUCUAGUCUAAGCAUAUGGAAAAUCCUAUAAUUCAUGCUUCUAUUCAUUCACUUAUUCAAUGGAUAUUUUCUGCAUAUUUUGCUGCUGCAUCAGUCACUGCUGGAUUGUAUAAGUGAUGCCCACUGUUCUCAGAGGGUUUAUAGACUAGACGAUCAAGUUUGUUGGAUAAUACUUGAGAAAAAAAGGAGACUAUACACAGAUGUGAAUUUUGUUGGGCCAAUAAAACAUUAGAGCUAUUGACUGGAGAGAACAAAAAGAUGGAUUAUUUUUUAAAGAACAAAGAUGGAUUUCUUUCUUCCCGGAAUCUCCCAUGUUACACUGUUACAAUUUCUAAAGAGCUAUGUAAGAUUACAGUGGUGAGAGAGCCCAGCCAUAAUAUAGUUCCAUGAAUGCUGUCCCUGGAUUCAAUAUAAUCUGCCCCUAAAGAGUCAAAACAGUCACUAGAAAUCUGAUUAUU
rnacentral:lncRNA from 1 species